UUCUCAUAUCAUUGUUUACCUUCUAGAUUGUCAAGGGGCCAGUUUUCUCCUCCUCUUCAAGUGAUUGAUCAAGAAUCGUCUUUGACAGUUUGAUGGGUGCUUGAGUGAUGGGCAUCCCUGACUGUAUCCCACCUGUCAGAUUGGAAUGAAUUGUCCAUCCCAUCAAAGAUCACCUUUGAUCUUGCCAGUGGAGAUAGUGGAAAGGCACAAGGCAGAGGACGCAGGUGAAAAAGCAUCAAAACCCCUAUAACCCUCACUGCUUGCCAACAACAAACAUAGGGAUGCGUGCCUGAAUUACCACGUACACAGACUGGUGUUUGGAAGGCUUGAUAGAUAAGAGAUUCAUGGCGCUGCUUGAAAGAGCAACAGUGAAGCAUCUAGGUGGUACAGAGAGAGCUUGGGCAGGCUGGCUGUAAAGCCUUUUGAGACUGAAUAUGAUUCAUGGGCAAUACAAAUAAACUUGACUUACUUUGCUAUUAUCAG